CGGGGCGUAGCGCAGUCUGGUAGCGCACCUGCUUCGGGAGCAGGGGGUCGGAGGUUCAAAUCCUCUCGCCCCGACCA
rnacentral:tRNA from 4 species